rnacentral:rRNA from 1 species
CACGAAGUUAGCCGGGGCUUCUUCUCCGGGUACCGUCAUUAUCGUCCCCGGUGAAAGAAUUUUACAAUCCUAAGACCUUCAUCAUUCACGCGGCAUGGCUGCGUCAGGCUUUCGCCCAUUGCGCAAGAUUCCCUACUGCUGCCUCCCGUAGGAGUCUGGGCCGUGUCUCAGUCCCAGUGUGGCUGAUCAUCCUCUCAGACCAGCUAUAGAUCGUCGCCUUGGUAGGCCUUUACCCCACCAACUAGCUAAUCUAACGCGGGCCGCUCCAAUGGCGAUAAAUCUUUCCCCCGAAGGGCACAUACGGUAUUAGCUGAAGUUUCCCUCAGUUGUUCCGUACCAAAGGGCACGUUCCCACGCGUUACUCACCCGUCCGCCGCUGCCCCCGAAGGGACCGCUCGACUUGCAUGUAUUAGGCCUGCCGCCAGCGUUCGCUCUGAGCCAGGAUCAAACUCU